UUCCCCACGGACCCUGGUUUCUGAGAGUCUGACUUUUUGCAUGCAUCUUUCCUCUCAGAGGAUGGACAUGACAUCAAAAAUCCCUCUGUCGGUGCCCGGCUCCCCCAUAGGAGCUCACAAAGGCCUGAAACAUACAUGACAUGGUGUCUGGUCCACAGAGAGCUCACAUGGACUUUCCUACAUGUACUUGUCCGGCUCUCAAAGGAAAAAGACAAGACUCGUGACAGAUAUGGGCUAUUGAAGUCGCCUC
rnacentral:lncRNA from 1 species